rnacentral:rRNA from 1 species
UACGGAGGGGGCUAGCGUUGUUCGGAAUUACUGGGCGUAAAGCGCACGUAGGCGGCUUUGUAAGUUAGAGGUGAAAGCCCGGGGCUCAACUCCGGAAUUGCCUUUAAGACUGCAUCGCUAGAAUUGUGGAGAGGUAAGUGGAAUUCCGAGUGUAGAGGUGAAAUUCGUAGAUAUUCGGAAGAACACCAGUGGCGAAGGCGGUGCUCUGGGCCGGUACUGACGCUGAGGAGCGAAAGCGUGGGUAGCAAACAGG